GACGAACCGUGCGAACGUUGCUCGGAUUCACUGGGCUUAAAGGGCGCGUAGGCGGGCCCCCACGCCCGCGGUGAAAGCCCCCGGCUCAACCGGGGAAGGGGUGCCGAAACGGCUGGCCUGGAGGGGCGUAGGGGGACCUGGAACUUCCGGUGGAGCGGUGAAAUGCGUUGAGAUCGGAAGGAACGCCCGUGGCGAAAGCGAGGUCCUGGACGCCAGCUGACGCUGAGACGCGAAAGCCAGGGGAGCGAACGGG
rnacentral:rRNA from 1 species